rnacentral:lncRNA from 1 species
AAUUGUAAAAGAAGAUGGAGACGUAUAGCUGUGGGCAGGCAUUUUUGUGGAGUGACCUGUACCUAAGUGGAUGGUAUGUCCAGAAGGCUUCCAGUCACUCAUUUUGGGUAUCACACAGUGUCCAUUAGGAGAAACGUUGAGGAAGAGACAUCAGAGUUUAACUAAUGUUUUAUUGGAAAGAACUUCAAGUAAUGCCAGGAAGCAAAUUCAGGCUGACUCCUCCAAUCUCCCUGAAAUUUCUAUGUUAGAAUUAAUUUCCAAUCAACUAACUGAUUCUCUGUUGAAACCAAGUGCCCUGGCUCCAACCAAAGAGAAAGGAGGGAGAGACCAGAAAAGGAUACUGAGCAGAGUGUCCAGAGAAGCAGGAGGGAGACUAAACAGCUGAGCAUUGUGGACUUGGAGAGAGAAAAGAUGCUCAAGGUCAUGGUGAAGUACAGUGCCGAUUGCCAGAAUGAAUGCUGUGGUAGAAUAAGGAGUCGAUAGAGAUCAAUAAGUGUGGGAAAUGAUAUUUUUAGUGUCUUUAGUGAGAGAAGUUUCAACUUUAUGAUGGAGUUGAGGCCAGAGAAUAAUGACAAGUGAAUGGGAAACAGUGCACAACAUAAGGGGGAUGUUUUCAAGUUGUCCAAGAAACAUGAGAACUAUUGGCAUGUGUCCACUUCUCAUGGACAAAAGUAAUUUUCUUUUCUUGUAGAGUAUCUUAAUAAAAGUUUUCAAAAGAGAGGAGAGGAGAGGAAGAUAUCAAGAAGAGAAAAGGGACAGGAAAAGUGGAAAGGGUAAAGUUUACAUGGGUGAACAAAGAAAAAGAACGGAAGAGAAGUUGGAAGAGAGUAACAGAGACAUAGAUGGAUAAUGUGGGAAAGAUAAGCCAGUGAAGACAGUGCAAGUAUCCAAGAAAGGCUGAGGAAGGAAGGGGAGGCUCAGAGGUUGGGGGUGAAUGUUUCUCUGAACCCUAGUUUGCAUUAUGUUGUCAACACCAGGAAUCCUUUCAUUUUCUUUUAAUCAAAAUUCUAAAUUUAUUUUCCUGUGGAAUUUGUCUAUGAAAUAUAUUUUCAUUUUAAAUUUUACCUUAGAAACUUUGUACUCUUCCUAAAUAUACUAGCACUGCCUGAAAGUUCUUUCC